rnacentral:lncRNA from 1 species
AGUUACAACCUAAGAGCCUUUUUCAAUAUCUUAUCUUUCUUUGAUUCCAGAACACAACAAGACCCAUUUCUAUCUAUAUAGAAUAUAUAGAAUUUUUUAGAUAUAAAUCUAAAUCAAAUCAUGUCUUCACAUAUCAAAUAUUUCCAUAUCGAUACAUAUGACACUUUUGUUCUGACAAUGUGAUGGAGAGUGAGUGCGAAAAAGAAACUUUCAUUUUGAGUCUCCUAUUAUUUAAUUUAAUAUUGUAUUAGAUUGAAAAAUAGGAACUUCUCUCUUUUUCUGAUAUAGAAAAGUAAAUAGAAAAAUAUUCGAAGUGGAUUUCUCGACCCGUGAAAUGAAAAAAUAUACUCUGGAGUUGUUUUUUGUUUUAUAUUCAUCUGAAGGAAAUAUGAGAAAGAAAACAACAA